rnacentral:rRNA from 1 species
UAGGGAAUCUUCCACAAUGGACGCAAGUCUGAUGGAGCAACGCCGCGUGAGUGAAGAAGGUUUUCGGACCGUAAAGCUCUGUUGUUGGUGAAGAAGGAUAGAGGUAGUAACUGGCCUUUAUUUGACGGUAAUCAACCAGAAAGUCACGGCUAACUACGUGCCAGCAGCCGCGGUAAAUCGUAGGUGGCAAGCGUUGUCCGGAUUUAUUGGGCGUAAAGCGAGCGCAGGCGGAAGAAUAAGUCUGAUGUGAAAGCCCUCGGCUUAACCGAGGAAUUGCAUCGGAAACUGUUUUCUUGAGUGCAGAAGAGGAGAGUAGAACUCCAUGUGUAGCGGUGGAAUGCGUAGAUAUAUGGAAGAAUACCAGUGGCGAAGGCGGCUCUCUGGUCUGCAACUGACGCUGAGGCUCGAAAGCAUGGGUAGCGAACAGGAUUAGAUACCCUGGUAGUCCAUGC